GUGCUAUCGCUCCAGCCCCCACAAACAAUGUUUUAAGAAGCUGACACAUGGUACGGUAAGUCUCCAGAAAACCCAGAAAAGAUUGGAAAACUCUUUGGAACCUGUCUAGAGGCACAGAA